rnacentral:rRNA from 1 species
GUCUAUGUUCAUAGGCGACAUCUCUAUCCUGCUAGGAUUUACAUUUGUACUACUAGCGGCUCAUUUAGUUGAGUUCACAGGUCAAAUAGAGAUGGCCCCUAGGGGUUGAGAUAUGAUCGAGCACUGGUUCUAGCGAGCCUUUUAUUUGUGGAACCUGCGGAAGGAUCAUUACAGAGAAAGUGCCCUUUGGGGUAUAUCUCCCACCCUUUGUUUAUAAUACCAUUGUUGCUUUGGCAGGCCCGUCCAAGGACCACUGGCUUCUGCUGGUCAGUGCCUGCCAGAGGACCCCAACACUCUUUUAUAAUUUAUCGUCUGAGUACUAUAUAAUAGUUAAAACUUUCAACAACGGAUCUCUUGGUUCUGGCAUCGAUGAAGAACGCAGCGAAAUGCGAUAAGUAAUGUGAAUUGCAGAAUUCAGUGAAUCAUCGAAUCUUUGAACGCACACUGCACCUUCUGGUAUUCCAGGAGGUAUGCCUGUUCGAGCGUCAUUGCGACCAACAAGCUUAAGCUUGGUAUUGGAUGUCACCAGCUGGUGCGUCUUAAAAUCAGUGGUGGUGCCAUUCAGCUUCAAGCGUAGUAAAUUUCUCGCUUCUGGAGUUUGGGGUGUGGUGCCUGCUAGAACCCCUAAAUUAUCAAGGUUGACCUCGGAUCAGGUAGGGAUACCCGCUGAACUUAAGC